UUGAAGAUAGCCGAAGUAUGCAAUGAAGCAGCUAUAUUCGGCAAAGCAAAAAGUUAGAAUUGUAGCACGAAACGUCUUCAACCUAUUCUCAAAUUUUCAAUAAGCAUGACGUCUCGCAUGCUUAAAUGAAACGUAGACAUUGAAUGUGUGCUCCAAGUGCGCCAUUUUUGGUAAGCAGAAACUGGCGCUUUGGGAUGAACUG
rnacentral:ncRNA from 1 species